GUCGUAACAAGGUUUCCGUAGGUGAACCUGCGGAAGGAUCAUUAAUGAAACAUGAACCUCGUGAAGGGUUGUUGCUGGCCUCUAGAGGUAUGUGCACGCCUGGAUCGUUCAUCCUCCCUUUCUUACACCUGUGCACAAUCUGUAGCUUGGGAUGAUCACGGAGUGUGCUGCUUUUGUAGUCACUUCGAAUGCCCUCUCUAUGAACGCUUUUAUAUACACCUUUAUAAAGUCUUGUAGAAUGUUGAUAAGCGUGUAACAGCGCGAAAAUAAUACAACUUUCAGCAACGGAUCUCUUGGCUCUCGCAUCGAUGAAGAACGCAGCGAAAUGCGAUAAGUAAUGUGAAUUGCAGAAUUCAGUGAAUCAUCGAAUCUUUGAACGCACCUUGCGCUCCUUGGUAUUCCGAGGAGCAUGCCUGUUUGAGUGUCAUGAAGUUCUCAACUGCUUUGACUUUAUUGUUGAAGUGAAGUUGGAUUUGGAGGAUCUUUGCUGGCGCGAGCUUGUGUGCAGAGAUUGUAUGCUUGCUUGCUUGUCGGCUCCUCUUAAAAGUAUGAAACCUUUCCAGUAGAUCUUGNCGAAAAGAGUAUCUUCGACGUGAUAACUAUCUGCGUCGUUGAGAAAGCUUAANAGCAGGGCCCUUCAAAGGCUCCUACAGGGAAAGGNUAAUGCAUAUGUCUCUUCCCAGUGAGACUGCUGCCUUGACCAAUUCGACCUCAAAUCAGGUAGGACUACCGCUGAACUUAAGCAUAUCAAUAAGCGGAGGAAAAGAAACUAACAAGGAUUCCCCUAGUAACUGCGAGUGAAGCGGGAAAAGCUCAAAUUUAAANUCUGGCGUGCCUUUGNCCGUCCGAGUUGUAGUCUNGAGAAGUGUNUUCUGUGCUGGACCGUGUACAAGUCCCUUGGAACAGGGCGUCAUAGAGGGUGAGAANCCCGUCUNUGACACGGACUACCAGUGCUCUGUGAUGCGCUCUCAAAGAGUCGAGUUGUUUGGGAAUGCAGCUCAAAAUGGGUGGUAAAUUCCAUCUAAAGCUAAAUAUAGGCGAGAGACCGAUAGCGAACAAGUACCGUGAGGGAAAGAUGAAAAGCACUUUGGAAAGAGAGUUAAACAGUACGUGAAAUUGCUGAAAGGGAAACGCUUGAAGUCAGUCGCGUCUGCCAGGACUCAGCCUUGCUUUUUUGCUUGGUGCACUUUCUGGUAGAUGGGCCAGCAUCAAUUUUGACCGUCAGAAAAAGUUGGAGGGAAUGUGGCACCUUUCGAGGUGUGUUAUAGCCUUUCAUCACAUAUGACGGUUGGGAUUGAGGACCGCAGCACGCCUUUAUGGCCGGGGCUUUGCUCACGUAACGUGCUUAGGAUGCUGGCUUAAUGGCUUUAAGCGACC
rnacentral:rRNA from 1 species